CCUACGGGAGGCAGCAGUGAGGAAUAUUGGUCAAUGGACGAGAGUCUGAACCAGCCAAGUAGCGUGAAGGAUGACUGCCCUAUGGGUUGUAAACUUCUUUUAUAUGGGAAUAAAACAGGGUAUGCAUACCCUCUUGUAUGUACCAUAUGAAUAAGGAUCGGCUAACUCCGUGCCAGAAGCCGCGGUAAUACGGAGGAUCCGAGCGUUAUCCGGAUUUAUUGGGUUUAAAGGGAGAGUAGGUGGAUUGUUAAGUCAGUUGGGAAAGUUUGCGGGUCAACCGUAAAAUUGCAGUUGAUACUGGCAGUCUUGAGUACAGUAGAGGUGGGCGGAAUUCGUGGUGUAGCGGUGAAAUGCAUAGAUAUCACGAAGAACUCCGAUUGCGAAGGCAGCUCACUGGACUGCAACUGACACUGAUGCUCGAAAGUGUGGGUAUCAAACAGGAUUAGAUACCCCGGUAGUC
rnacentral:rRNA from 1 species